rnacentral:rRNA from 1 species
AGUGAACGCUGGCGGUAGGCCUAACACAUGCAAGUCGAACGGCAGCACAGUAAGAGCUUGCUCUUACGGGUGGCGAGUGGCGGACGGGUGAGGAAUACAUCGGAAUCUACUUUUUCGUGGGGGAUAACGUAGGGAAACUUACGCUAAUACCGCAUACGAUCUACGGGUGAAAGCAGGGGAUCUUCGGACCUUGCGCGAUUGAAUGAGCCGAUGUCGGAUUAGCUAGUUGGCGGGGUAAAGGCCCACCAAGGCGACGAUCCGUAGCUGGUCUGAGAGGAUGAUCAGCCACACUGGAACUGAGACACGGUCCAGACUCCUACGGGAGGCAGCAGUGGGGAAUAUUGGACAAUGGGCGCAAGCCUGAUCCAGCCAUACCGCGUGAGUGAAGAAGGCCUUCGGGUUGUAAAGCCCUUUUAUUGGGAAAGAAAAGCAGCAGGUUAAUACCCCGCUGUUCUGACGGUACCCAAAGAAUAAGCACCGGCUAACUUCGUG